rnacentral:rRNA from 1 species
GACGAACGCUGGCGGCGUGCUUAACACAUGCAAGUCGAGCGGUAAGGCCCUUUCGGGGGUACGACGAGCGGCGAACGGGUGAGUAACACGUGGGUGACCUGCCCUCAGCUCUGGGAGUAAGCCUGGGAAACCGGGUCUAAUACCGGAUACGACUCCAUGACGCAUGUUGUGGGUGGAAAGCCUUGUGCGGCUGAGGAUGGGCCCGCGGCCUAUCAGCUUGUUGGUGGGGUGAUGGCCUACCAAGGCGACGACGGGUAGCCGGCCUGAGAGGGCGACCGGCCACACUGGGACUGAGACACGGCCCAGACUCCUACGGGAGGCAGCAGUGGGGAAUCUUGCGCAAUGGGCGAAAGCCUGACGCAGCGACGCCGCGUGAGGGAUGACGGCCU